rnacentral:rRNA from 1 species
AGUGAACGCUGGCGGUAGGCCUAACACAUGCAAGUCGAACGGCAGCACAGUAAGAGCUUGCUCUUACGGGUGGCGAGUGGCGGACGGGUGAGGAAUACAUCGGAAUCUACUUUUUCGUGGGGGAUAACGUAGGGAAACUUACGCUAAUACCGCAUACGACCUACGGGUGAAAUCAGGGGAUCUUCGGACCUUGCGCGAUUGAAUGAGCCGAUGUCGGAUUAGCUAGUUGGCGGGGUAAAGGCCCACCAAGGCGACGAUCCGUAGCUGGUCUGAGAGGAUGAUCAGCCACACUGGAACUGAGACACGGUCCAGACUCCUACGGGAGGCAGCAGUGGGGAAUAUUGGACAAUGGGCGCAAGCCUGAUCCAGCCAUACCGCGUGAGUGAAGAAGGCCUUCGGGUUGUAAAGCCCUUUUGUUGGGAAAGAAAAGCAGCAGGUUAAUACCCCGCUGUUCUGACGGUACCCAAAGAAUAAGCACCGGCUAACUUCGUG